AGCCUCGAGGUGUAUUUUCAUAUUAGAUUGCAAAUCUAAAGACGCAGGUUAGCGCUUGCCGGGGCUU
rnacentral:tRNA from 1 species